UCAAAUUAACAACAAAAGUUUAACCAUUUAUUUACGAUUCUCCCACCAGUCAUCCAAACUACAAAUCUGUAGCGUUUUAGAGUACAAAUUACGAGGGAAAUAACAUAAAAGUAAGAGGCAAGCCUCACCUCCGCAUAACUUACAAGAAUAAAGAUGAGGCUCGCCUCUCUUUCUUACCUGCUCACACAUCUCUUUUACUCAGGUAACGUUUCGAAAGAUUCGUACGAACGCUUCGCAGCAGCCACCAUUAGCUGAUUAAGCAGGAUUUGUGAAGAAAAAGGUCUACAAACAGCACAUAAAGUCACCGUCUAGUCGUAGAAUUUUGGUUAGGGUUGGGCUGGGUGGAAGUUGGGUGGGCCUACACAACAGCACGUAAAUGUAGCGCUCCUACUGUUCACUAAAUCGAGGAACUCUGAUCUAUAAACAAAACCAAACGAACUGCCCUGUAAACAUGCUCCUAAUGACAAA